UUAAGUAAGUGUGUGUCUGUACAGUCUCUUUCUCUCCACUAAUUCGUACACAGGCAUGUCGUAAGACGAUAAGCCAUAAGAAACUAAGUAAACAACCUUUGUUCGAGGAAUCAGAACAUUCCUUGGUAUAGGCAACCCUGCUGCAGAAGCAUACUCUUGUGAUGCUUCAAGUUUGGCCUGUGUAAAGCGUGUACCCUCAGGAAGAAGAGCCAUCCAAAAAGGCCUUGGAUAAUGACGUAGCUGCUGAAGUCCUGACUGCAUUAUGAUAACCCCAAAAGAAAAGGAUGUUUAUUAGACAGUAAAUUUCAUUCUAGAUUUAUGUAUAACAGGGUUGAAGCUAAUGACCUUCAAUGUGUUCUCAUCGCUGGCCCAAUUUCUUUCCAAGAAAAUAUAUUCAGAAAAGUACAUUGACCAGCCAAUGACCUGCAUCACAGAUACUUCAUUAUUCCCCUAUUCAAUAUAUAUCAGAUGCCAUCCUAACAAGUGGUGAGUUUUAAGUUUUAAUUGAAUGUACACGUGUUGAAGUAAGAUAGUGCUCUAUACCAAAACUUACAGUCAAUACAGUUGUGCAAUGUGUUGUGUUUGUGUAUCAUAACAAUCUACAAGAGAGAAGAAAUCUUUAACACCAAAUAAAUGUAGUGGUGGAUGUAAUUCAAUUUGGUCUUCUUCUUAAAAUUAGGCUUUCCAGUACAGUGACAUUUCAGGUUUAGGUUUUUGAUACAUUUAUCAAAUUUCAAUUGAACAAAAGCAACAACUAAGUAAAAUUCAAACAAAAAACUUAACGAAAUAUCAGUCCUAAACAGCAUAUAAUUGCAUGACAAUAUCAAAGAGUGUAAGAAUAUUAUAGUAUUAAAACUGAGAGAUAUAUGAUAUCAACUACAUUAACAUAUGGUUGUGGCUUCCUGAGAUAUUUUUCCUUUUUCUUUUUACCAAAUUUGAUCAGUAAAGGUUGGUCAUCUCAACCGGAUUAAUAAUUAGAUAAGAGAAACUUACAGGGAGGUAUCUUGAUGAUUUUUUGGAUACAGCCAAAGCGCUACCUAGGCAACCAGAUCGCUGUCAGCAAAACCAGUAUUAGUUUGUGAAUAAAGUAUGUGCGAAAAAGACAAAUUUUUAAUAAAAAAAACACUGUUACUAGAAUAAAGAUGCUGUGCAUUCUAUUCAGUUAGUCGAAUAUGAAUUAUAAUCUAACUCGAGGGGUAGCAAGAGUCAGGAUCAGGAGAUAGACAUCCAGCACAAAUGUGGAAGCUCUUUUGUUAUAUAUCAGAAUAAUGUCAAAGCCUUUAAAUUGAACCCAAUCUAUACGACAAUAAUUUAUUGCAAUUUUCAAGUCCUACUUGAAGACUAAAUAAUCUACAAAGAUAUGCACCUGAGCUAGAAUCCAUCCAACCAGCCAGUCAAUGUCGCUCCUAUGAUUACAAAUAACGAGAGCAUGUUCUUUACCUAAAAAUACUUUGUUAUAAGUUCAUAUGACAAAUGAUGUAACCUUGUAUCCAAAAAAAAAAAAAUAGUUUUGAGUAGAAAGAUAAUCAGGCAUGCUCACCCAGUAAUUGAAAAGAUUCAGAGUCCAUAAACAGCUCAACCUGCAAGUGAUUUAGUCAGAAAGAGGAACAUUUGUUCAAUAAAUGCCAAUUUACUAGGAUGCCAAGUAAUCACCAUACUUUCCUAACUUCCGUAUUGCCAAUGAAAUGCUUUGUAAAGAUCACAAAUUACCAGAAAAAGAUGUAAGAGGACCAGACACAUUAAACCAUCGUGUAUCCUCUAUUCUGGUAAUACUGGGAGAAAUCACCCCCUUUUUUGCUAAAUCAAAUUAACCCAUUUUUAUUCUCAUUUAUUUGAAGUUACCACAAAUUUGCUUAUAUUUCCAUCAAAUUUAUUAUUUCUGGAAAUACAUGUAUUAGUAUAUAAUAUAAAAAAGUAAUAGCAUAAGAGCCUUCAUAUAAAUAGAAGUCUCUUUUCUAGAGUCGGCUUAUCAGUUAUUAGCCUGAGCAAUAAACGGUUGCUAUUUGCAUUAGUUAGAUUUCACUACCUGCAAUCAGACACAACUUAGGUUGUAUCAAGUGAAGCAGCUGGUUUGCGUAUGUAGUUUAAGUCCCAGGGCUCCCUAUUUAUUUAGCUUUCAUUCUGUUCUUUUUUGAGCGCGGCAAUAAUGAAAUGAGUCAUAUAUUGCAUCAAUCUAGUGAGUCAUUGAAAGUCUUGAAAAAAUUUAUAAAUUGAGUGCUGAAAUUCAGACUGUUUAAAAAUCGAAUAAAAAUCUUUAAAUUCAGAUAAGAAUUCAGAAAGACCACAUGCAUUGUGAAGCAAAAUUUAUGAAUUUACUGCUCAAGUUUGCAGUAUGAUGCCAAUUACAAUUUGAUACAGUGAAGCUAAUACCUUCACAUUUGCCCACCAAUCUGCAAGCCAUAUGACUUCAAGCCACAGCAUCUCUGUGACGUAUAUGUUGAUUAUUCUGUACACUCUCUUUGAAAAUGGCCGAACUAGAAGGAAGAAAAUCGCCUGAAAGAAAAAGUAAGCAAAAGAUAUAUAUAUGACGGCACAAAAGUCCAUAUUUCAGUAUCCAAAAAAAGUUUGGACUUGAUGAUAUAAAGAAAUAGAGUCUAAGAUAUAAACUGCCAGCAUAUCAACUGGAAAAAUCAAAAUGUAGUAAUAGUGGACGACUUGAUAAGUCCCUCAUAUAGAAUAAUUACUCAAAUUAACCAUUAAAAAUACAAGCAAGAGCGGUAAAUUCAACUGGAAAGACAACAUUCCCAACGCCAUUCACGUUUUCAUCUCUCCCAGCCACUCGUGCAUAUGUAUCAAUCAUUGGUUUGAUUCUACAGUUGAGUUAUCGAAACAAUGCAACUAAAUUCUACAAUUUGUCACUAUAUUAAUAAUUAAGACAGAGGCUAGGUGAUCAAUUGAUUGUAAUAACUCACCAAUACAUCAUUAAAAUUAAAACCACAUUGAAUUUGGAAUAAAUUCAUUCUCUAGAACAAACAAAAAUUCAAGACUCAUUUAUAAGUUGUCACUUGUUGGCAUUAUUAUAUAUAUUGAUAAUUUAUCAAAAAAAAACCUUUGCAUGUCCUGUUUACAGAAAAUUUAAAUUAUAUUGCUUUGCAAUCAUAAGUAUAUUGAACAAAAUGUAAGAUAUGAAUUGCUGCAUGUAAGAUGUAAGAAUAAAAAAGAAAGAUGAAAACCUGAAGUGAGUUGACAAUGAGGCCAGAAACAAGGAGGAGAAGUCCGAGAGGAAGAAUCACGAAAACGGGGGCCAUUAUCUUUACACACAGAAUGAUUGUUGAAAAUGGGAUCUACAAAGGAAAACUUUAAACAGUGGAACAGGAUUUUUAAUAAAAUGGGAUUCACGACUUCUUAAUUUAAUCAUCAUCAUUGUAAAUUUAGUUGUGAUUUUAAUGGGAACUUUGGAAACCUAACAUCACAUGAGAUGUAUUUGAAGUCCAAAUCAUAUAAUAUUAUAUUUCUCGUAAAGUCAUAAUACUAUAUUGUGUAGCAUUUUAAUUUUAUAAUCUAAUGUUAUAUAAAAUAUUGUUUUAGCAUAAUAUACGAGAUUAUAUUUUUAGAAUGCAGAAUAUUUUAAUUUCAAUUUAAUAUCCAAAAAUUUUCUCAACUAUAUAAAAAAUAUCGCUUAAACCUUGUGUUUUUUUAGCAUAAUACCCCCUCUCUCGACAAGUUUUUUACAUUAUCUUUUUACACAUUUCAAUACUUUUAUAAAAUAUAAUUUCAUGAUAUCCUUCUAAAAGGUAUUUUUCUGAAUAAAAGUUUAACGCUUAAAUUUUUAUUCAAAAAAUAAAAAUAUUAAAAACGUUUUGAAAUUAUAUUUUGCAAGAGUGUCCCAGGUCGAAACUUACGGCAAAAGGGGUGUAUAGACCUAAUUUAUAACAUAAUUUUUUUACGAUGCUCGGGAGCAUGAGUGUGUAGCAGCCUAAGUGAAUUAGUUGAGAUGGACGCAAGCUGGCCCGACACCGGUUUAAGGAAAAUAAAAAAAAUUGUACAUUUAAAUUUAAAAAAUUGAUAUGUAUGAGCCUCUGUUCUAAAAGUUAGCUCGCCGAACUGAUUAAAUCUCCGAUUAAUCACUGAUUAAUCCAAUUAAUCCCCGAUCAAUUCAAUUAAUCACCGAUUAAUCCCUGUUCUGUGACUUCACCGAUUAAGUCCGAUUCCCGCUUUUUACAACACUAGGUCACCCUUUUAUUUAAUGGUCCUUGCUUGCCUGCCCUAAGAAUAAAAACAGACAGAGCGAGAGGGGGGAAAGAAAUUUGGGGGAGUUUGCAGAGAAAAACAGCGCAGUAGAAUCAAUAGAUUAACAAUGGAGAAUCAACAACAGCAACAGCAAUGGAUGAUGAGCGCACAGGCCAGCAUAACCGCCACUCCCACAGUCACCUACUCUUCCCUCCCGUAUCACCAGCCCACCACUCACGAAGAAGUCCGCACUCUCUGGAUCGGCGAUUUGCCCUACUGGGCCGACGAGUCUUAUCUCAACUCCUGGUUCUCUCCCGCCGCCCAAUUGCUCUCUAUCAAAGUAAUUCGCAACAAACUCACGGGUCAACCCGAAGGUUAUGGCUUCGUCGAGUUUCCGUCUCACGCUAUCGCGGAGCGGAUUCUGCAGACGUACAAUGCGGCUCAAAUCCCCGGGACUGAAUUGACUUUUAGGUUGAAUUGGGCGUCUUUUGGGAUUGGGGAUAAGAGGCCUGAAGCGGGGCCUGAGCAUUCGAUUUUUGUGGGGGAUUUGGCGCCUGAGGUUACGGAUUUGUUGUUGCAGGAGACGUUUGCGGCGCAGUAUCCGUCGGUUAGGGGUGCUAAGGUUGUUACUGAUCCGGCGACUGGCCGGUCUAAGGGAUAUGGGUUUGUUAAAUUUGCGGAUGAGAAUGAGAGGAAUCGGUCCAUGACGGAAAUGAAUGGGGUUUAUUGUUCUACGAGGCCUAUGCGGAUUAGUGCAGCUACGCCUAAGAAGACUCCGGGAUUUCAACAGCCGUAUGCAGGAGCAGUUAAAGGUCUACUUUCUUCUUUCAAUUCUUAGUUGCCUAGUUUCUUGUAUUAAUAAGCAUUGCACCAUGUCUUCUAAAGCUGCCCACAGCUCACUCCAUCUGCACCACCCACGUCAGUCGUCACACUGUGAUCUAGUUAAGUUAGAUCAAAACUUACAUGAUUCGGAAACCCCAAUUCCUUACUGCAUAAACACAGUUCUGUAUGAUAAUCAAAAUUAUGAUAUUACAUCUUGUUUGCUUNCAAUUCAAUUAAUCACCGAUUAAUCCCUGUUCUGUGACUUCACCGAUUAAGUCCGAUUCCCGCUUUUUACAACACUAGGUCACCCUUUUAUUUAAUGGUCCUUGCUUGCCUGCCCUAAGAAUAAAAACAGACAGAGCGAGAGGGGGGAAAGAAAUUUGGGGGAGUUUGCAGAGAAAAACAGCGCAGUAGAAUCAAUAGAUUAACAAUGGAGAAUCAACAACAGCAACAGCAAUGGAUGAUGAGCGCACAGGCCAGCAUAACCGCCACUCCCACAGUCACCUACUCUUCCCUCCCGUAUCACCAGCCCACCACUCACGAAGAAGUCCGCACUCUCUGGAUCGGCGAUUUGCCCUACUGGGCCGACGAGUCUUAUCUCAACUCCUGGUUCUCUCCCGCCGCCCAAUUGCUCUCUAUCAAAGUAAUUCGCA
rnacentral:lncRNA from 1 species